UACGGGGGGGGCAAGCGUUGUUCGGAAUUACUGGGCGUAAAGGGCUCGUAGGCGGUCUGUCGCGUCGGGAGUGAAAACUCAGGGCUUAACCCUGAGCCUGCUUCCGAUACGGGCAGACUAGAGUCAGGUAGGGGAGAACGGAAUUCCUGGUGUAGCGGUGAAAUGCGCAGAUAUCAGGAGGAACACCGGUGGCGAAGGCGGGUCUCUGGGCCGAAACUGACGCUGAGGAGCGAAAGCGUGGGGAGCAAACAGG
rnacentral:rRNA from 1 species